GCAAUGGGGGGCGGGCUAUACAUGGCAAGUUGAGCGCUGAGGUUGGUACUUGUACCAACUGGAUGAGCAGCGAACGGGUGAGUAACGCGUGGGGAAUCUGCCUUUGAGCGGGGGACAACAUUUGGAAACGAAUGCUAAUACCGCAUAAAAACUUUAAACACAAGUUUUAAGUUUGAAAGAUCCGCAAUGGGCAUCACACCUCAAAGAUGAUUCCCGCGUUGUAUUAGCCUAGUUGGUGAGCUAAAGGCUAACCAAGGCGAUGAUACAUAGCCGACCUGAGAGGGUGAUCGGCCACAUUGGGACUGAGACACGGCCCAAACUCCUACCGGAGGCAGCAGUAGGGAAUCUUCGGCAAUGGACGAAAGUCUGACCGAGCAACGCCGCGUGAGUGAAGAAGGUUUUCGGAUCGUAAAACUCUGUUGGUAGAGAAGAACGUUGGUGAGAGUGGAAAGCUCAUCAAGUGACGGUAACUACCCAGAAAGGGACGGCUAACUACGUGCCAGCAGCCGCGGUAAUACGUAGGUCCCGAGCGUUGUCCGGAUUUAUUGGGCGUAAAGCGAGCGCAGGUGGUUUAUUAAGUCUGGUGUAAAAGGCAGUGGCUCAACCAUUGUAUGCAUUGGAAACUGGUAGACUUGAGUGCAGGAGAGGAGAGUGGAAUUCCAUGUGUAGCGGUGAAAUGCGUAGAUAUAUGGAGGAACACCGGUGGCGAAAGCGGCUCUCUGGCCUGUAACUGACACUGAGGCUCGAAAGCGUGGGGGAGCAAACAGGAUUAGAUACCCUGGUAGUCCACGCCGUAAACGAUGAGUGCUAGAUGUAGGGAGCUAUAAGUUCUCUGUAUCGCAGCUAACGCAAUAAGCACUCCGCCUGGGGAGUACGACCGCAAGGUUGAAACUCAAAGGAAUUGACGGGGGCCCGCACAAGCGGUGGAGCAUGUGGUUUAAUUCGAAGCAACGCGAAGAACCUUACCAGGUCUUGACAUACUCGUGCUAUUCCUAGAGAUAGGAAGUUCCUUCGGGACACGGGAUACAGGUGGUGCAUGGUUGUCGUCAGCUCGUGGUCGUGAGAUGUUGGGUUAAGUCCCGCAACGAGCCGCAACCCCUAUUGUUAGUUGCCAUCAUUAAGUUGGGCACUCUAACGAGACUGCCGGUGAUAAACCGGAGGAAGGUGGGGAUGACGUCAAAUCAUCAUGCCCCUUAUGACCUGGCCUACACACGUGCCUACAAUGGAUGGUACAACGAGUCGCGAGAACAGUGAAGUGUUUAGCCUUAUAUUCUCUUUAAGAACACAAUUCUCAGUUCGGAUUGUAGGCUGCAACUCGCCUACAUGAAGUCGGAAUCGCUAGUAAUCGCGGAUCAGCACGCCGCGGUGAAUACGUUCCCGGGCCUUGUACACACCGCCCGUCACACCACGGGAGUUGGGAGUACCCGAAGUAGGUUGCCUAACCGCAAGGAGGGCGCUCCUAAGUAAGACCCGAUUGC
rnacentral:rRNA from 1 species